UACGGAGGGUGCGAGCGUUGUCCGGAAUCACUGGGCGUAAAGGGCGCGUAGGCGGCGCGAGCAGUCGGCGGUGAAAGCCCGGAGCUCAACUCCGGGUCGGCCGUCGAUACUCUCGUGCUUGAGCACUGUAGAGGCAGAUGGAAUUCCGGGUGUAGCGGUGGAAUGCGUAGAGAUCCGGAAGAACACCGGUGGCGAAGGCGGUCUGCUGGGCAGUAGCUGACGCUGAUGCGCGACAGCGUGGGGAGCAAACAGG
rnacentral:rRNA from 1 species